rnacentral:misc_RNA from 1 species
UCCCCGUUGCCGAGGCAGUAUGACUAGAAAAUGCAACUAGUCACGAGGGUUGCGCUCGUUAAAGGACUUAACCUAACAUCUCACGACACGAGCUGACGACGACCAUGCAUCACCUGUCACUGGUCCAACUAAAUGACCCCCAAGUUUCCAAGGGGUACGACCAGGAUGUCAAGCCCUGGUAAGGUUCUUCGCGUAGCCUCGAAUUAAACCACACGCUCCACCGCUUGUGCGGGUCCCCGUCAAUUCCUUUGAGUUUUAGUCUUGCGACCGUACUCCCCAGGCGGGAUACUUAACGCGUUAGCUUCGCUACUGAACGGGUCGAUACGUCCAACAGCUAGUAUCCAUCGUUUACGGCGUGGACUAC